GUGCCAGCAGCCGCGGUAAUACGAAGGGUGCAAGCGUUACUCGGAAUUACUGGGCGUAAAGCGUGCGUAGGCGGUUUGUUAAGUCUGUCGUGAAAGCCCCGGGCUCAACCUGGGAAUGGCGAUGGAAACUGGCGAGCUAGAGUACGGUAGAGGAGAGUGGAAUUCCCGGUGUAGCAGUGAAAUGCGUAGAGAUCGGGAGGAACAUCAGUUGCGAAGGCGGCUCUCUGGACCAGUACUGACGCUGAGGCACGAAAGCGUGGGGAGCAAACAGGAUUAGAAACCCCCGUAGUCC
rnacentral:rRNA from 1 species